rnacentral:rRNA from 1 species
AUGCUGACGAAAUGGUCUCUAUUGACCCGUCUUGUAACACGGACCAAGGAGUCUAACAUCUAUGCGAGUAUGUGGGUGUCAAACCUUCUGUGCGUAAUGAAAGUGAAAGGUAGGAACUGGGCAACCAGGGCACUAUCGACCGAUCAUCACUUGUGAAAGAUUUGAGUUAGAGCAUAUCUGUUGGGACCCGAAAGAUGGUGAUCUAUGCCUGAACAGGGUGAAGCCAGGGGAAACUCUGGUGAAGGCUCGUAGCGAUACUGACGUGCAAAUCGUUCGUCUGAUUUGGGUAUAGGGGCGAAAGACUAAUCGAACUAUCUAGUAGCUGGUUCCCUCCGAAGUUUCCCUCAGGAUAGCUGGAACUUAUACAGUUUUAUCAGGUAAAGCUAAUGAUUAGACGUUCCGGGCUAGAAACUAGCUUGACGUAUUCUCAAACUUUAAAUAGGUAAGAAGUCUUGUGUUACUUAAUUGAACCGAGACAUUGAAUGGAAGUUCUUAGUGGGCCAUUUUUGGUAAGCAGAACUGGCGAUGCGGGAUGAACC